ensembl:lncRNA
UAGAAACUGCUACUCUGUACCAGAUGCAUCGCUGUGCACAUACAGUUCCUCAGUAAACAGUCAAUAUUCAUCUGAUGUCUCGUGUGCUCUCUGAUCGGAGCCCUGCAGUGGUCAGUUAGGCUAAAAUCAGCAAUCAGAGGUAUCAAUCCUCAACAAAGGUCCUUCGAGCCGGAUAAUUGACUACCGCAGAAUAUGUCAUCAGAAGACGAUACAAUGACCAUCCCUCAUAUGGAGGUACGAGAGCGACAAGUGAGACAGCGCCGCACACCUAGGCAUCUAGAGCAGUACAUCCUUGCCUACAAUCCUCGUAGGCCUGCCCCUUCCUCCCACCCUGACAAUGGAGAACGUGAGGAGCAGAGAGGAGCAGCGGCUGCAGCAGACAGUGGACAAGCAGAUGCAACUUCUCAUCUUGGUGCAAGCGGAGCCUCACGUAGCUCUAACUCAGGUGACCCACUGAGCACCACAUCACUGAAACAACUCAUUGAAUCUUUAUCCAGGAGUGAGGAGGAGGAAAGAGCGGAGAUAGCUGAAGUCACACACAAACUCCGUCAAUAUGAACAUCGACAACGUCGUCGUCAAGAACUACUAGGGCACAUCACAUCAUUCCUGCGAGAAGAAGAGGAGAAUGAUGAGGCUUGCAACGUGAAGGGUUCCAUGCCCACUCAAGUACAAAGUCAGUCUCCACUUCACACCCUUACCUGUGUUCACCCUCUGAGCUACUCCCCUCCAGCAGAGAGGCAGGUUCAAAACAUGGAGUCUCACAUUGAAAGACAUACACCAAAUAUGAUUUCAACAUUAGAGGGAGAAGCUGGACCGAGAGACUACACCUCUAUCAUAACAAGCGAAAGAGCGAGAUCUGCAUUUACGCCAUUGCAUCCAGUCCCUCCAGAACACCCACACUCCCCCUAUUCAACCAUCUCUGCGGGAGCGAUAACUCCAACCUCGGCACAAAGACACCUCAUAAAGCCAGUCCCUCUACAGCCCCAGAUGACGGAGCUGUAUCGCUGUGAGGAUGGAGUUUCCUAUAUGCACCAGCCUCAGGUACCACAGCUGUUAACCAAAACAGCCCUGUCUUACAAUCCCACACCUCCAGCUUUAUAUCAGAGACUUCCCCCAUCUCAAGCCCCCUCAACUUAUAGCCUGCCUCAUUAUGUACCUGUGCCAGCAUCGGUAGUUGCACCCCAGACUCUUCCACCUGCCUCAGGAAUGCGUAAUAUCCCUGCAGCUGUUCAGUCACAGUUUCCAGCCAGCCAGGCCAUAGCCCCACAUAACUUUAGCACACAACCACGCUCCAUAUAUGGUGUGCCCAAACCCAAAAUUCCAGAUUUCACUACAGAUAGUGAAAGGGAAUUUGCCAACCUGAAGUUAGCCUUGGACAACCUGCUCGAACCUUAUCCUGAACUGACUGAAAAAUACAAAUACCAUGUGUUACUCGAACACCUCAAACUCCCUGAGGCACAGAUGAUUGGUCAGUCAUGUCGACAUGCCCCCUUUCCCUACACUGCAGCCAUGCAAGCACUACAGCUCCAGUACGGCCAGCCACAUCAGUUAGCACAGAGUGAAAUAGCAGCUAUCCUCACUACACCUGAUGUGAAGUCUGGAGAUGCACGCACUUUCCAGAGCUUCGCUCUCAGAGUCCAUCUCCUAGUUAGUAUGCUACUCUCCCUGGAGGGACCUCAAGGGAUGGAGCUCAACUGCUGCUCACAUGUUGACCGCCUACUUAGUAAGCUGCCCAAAUAUCACAGGGAUGGGUUCAUUGAAUACCUUCAGAUACAGGGAAAGCUCAACACCACAAGCCUCAAUCCCUACAACCUCCAAGACUUGAAUAGUUGGCUUCAAGGUAAAGCUCAGCAGCAGCGUCUAUCAAACAGACUAGUGCAGCGCUACCAACUGGAGAAACCUGCAAGCAACGAGAAGGAGAAAAUCCCAUAUAGGGGCAAAAGUCAGAGCGUAGCUGUGUACCAUGGAGCAGAGCCCACUCAGUCAAACACCCCCAAUAAACCCACAUCAUUUGGUGGCAAGAAACCUUUCAAAGUGCACUGUCUCUUCUGUGACAGCAAAGAACAUUACAUCAGCAGAUGUCCCAGCAUUAAAGUGAAAUCAACAACAGAGCUGGACAGAUGGAUAACAGAAGGGAAACGUUGCUGGAGAUGCGCUCGUACUCACACACCUGAGUCUUGCAACCUCAAGAAACCCUGUAGCGACUGCGGUGACAUCCAUCUCCAAGUGCUUCACAAUGUCGCUCAGUGUCGCGCUACCGACCUACAGCCAAGAGCCUCAGAGAGCCGAGUCUACUUGACACCCAGUAUAACGACCAGCAAAGUGCUCCUGAAGGUGGUUCCAGUCUUGCUGCACAACAAUUCUAAUUCAGUGGAAACUUUCGCUGUGUUAGACGAUGGCGCACAGCGCACUAUGAUCUUACCAGCAGCUGUCCAGCUGCUUCAGCUGAAUGGAGAGUCAGAGACCCUCACCCUACGCACAGUACGCACAGACGUCACACAUCUUCAGGGUUCAAAGGUCAAUUUCCAGAUCUCCUCCAGAGCCAACCCACGGAGGCAGUACAAAGUUCAGGGAGCAUUUACCGCCACAGGUCUAGAUUUAGUAGAACAAACCUACCCUGUACAGAUGCUUCAAAGACGACACUCCCACCUGCGAGGUAUACCGCUGCAGCCUUUCCAAAAUGUACGGCCACUAGUGUUACUCGGUUCUGAUCAUGUACACCUCAUCACGGCAACGGAACCAAUCCGCAGAGGGUCUAAUGGUGGACCCAUAGCCAUCCACACUGUCCUGGGAUGGGCCCUGCAAGGUGCAGAGAAGUGCAUACCAGAGCAAUCACCGGUGCAGCAGUGUCUCUUCACUUCAGUCGUUAGCCCAGACGACCUUCUCUACCGAAACGUCGAAAGAUUGUGGCAACUUGAUGUUUUGCCCUUCCGAAAUGAGAAAUUGGUCGUUCGCUCUCGUGAGGACCAGGUCGCCAUAAGCCUCCUGGAAACCAAAACACAGCGAAUCAAAGAGGGAGGAGUCUGCCGGUACGCAACCCCACUCUUGAGGAAACCAGG